UGUAUUUUGUUGCUUGAGGGUCUACUUGAU
rnacentral:piRNA from 1 species